AUAUGAACCAGGUGAUCGCUUUCUUUAAGAAUCGGCAAUGUAGUGUUGUGCCCUGAUUAUUGUUAUGUGAUUCCUUUAAUUCUCUGCAACCUUUGUUGGAUUUGGCUCAUCCUUUCUGCAUCAACAAUCGAAAAUAUGGUGAGGGGAUUAAUGUAAACCCUCGUCGGAUGCCUCCGCACUGCCCAGUCCUGAGUACUGUGCUAUGGCUUGUUUGUUUUCUUGCAUCUACAUCUUCACUAAAUACUA